GACGAACGCUGGCGGCGUGCUUAACACAUGCAAGUCGAGCGGAAGGGCCCUGCUUUUGUGGGGUGCUCGAGUGGCGAACGGGUGAGUAACACGUGAGUAACCUGCCCUUGACUUUGGGAUAACUUCAGGAAACUGGGGCUAAUACCGGAUAGGAGCUCCUGCUGCAUGGUGGGGGUUGGAAAGUUUCGGCGGUUGGGGAUGGACUCGCGGCUUAUCAGCUUGUUGGUGGGGUAGUGGCUUACCAAGGCUUUGACGGGUAGCCGGCCUGAGAGGGUGACCGGCCACAUUGGGACUGAGAUACGGCCCAGACUCCUACGGGAGGCAGCAGUGGGCAAUAUUGCACAAUGGGCGGAAGCCUGAUGCAGCAACGCCGCGUGCGGGAUGACGGCCUUCGGGUUGUAAACCGCUUUCGCCUGUGACGAAGCGUGAGUGACGGUAAUGGGUAAAGAAGCACCGGCUAACUACGUG
rnacentral:rRNA from 1 species